rnacentral:lncRNA from 13 species
AUGUCAGAGCUGGUGACAGUGAGACAUGGUGACAUCGUGGUGCUGUGGUGGCAUCACAGGUCCCAGGGUUCCUGGGAUUGCUCCCCUCAGGUGAGAUGGGACCUGCAGGAGCAUCCUGGGUGCCUUUCCUGUGUCCCUCCCUGGUCCCUUCCCUGUGUCCCCUCCUGUGUUCCUUCCCUGGUUCCCUCCCUGGUCCCUCCCUGGUUCCCUCCCUGGUCCCUCCCUGGUUCCCUUCCCGGGUCCCUCCCUGGUCCCUCCCUGGUUCCCUUCCCUGUGUCCCUUCCCUGGUUCCCUCCCUGGUUCCUCCUCUGUGUCCCUUCCCUGGGUCCCUUCCCUGGGUCCCUCCCUGGGUCCCUUCCCUGGGUCCCUCCCUGGGUCCCUCCCCUGGGUCCCUUCCCUGGGUCCCUCCCUGGUUCCCUCCCUGGUCCCUCCCUGGUUCCUCCCCUGUGUCCCUUCCCUGGGUCCCUUCCCUGGUCCCUCCCUGGUUCCUCCUCUGGGUCCCUUCCCUGGUUCCCUCCCUGGUUCCCUUCCCUGUGUCCCUUCCCUGGUUCCCUCCCUGGUUCCUCCCCUGGGUCCCUCCCCUGGGUCCCUCCCUGGGUCCCUUCCCUGGUUCCCUUCCCUGUGUCCCUUCCCUGGUUCCCUCCCUGGUUCCUCCCCUGGGUCCCUCCCCUGGGUCCCUCCCUGGGUCCCUUCCCUGGGUCCCUCCCUGGGUCCCCUCCCUGGGUCCCUUCCCUGGGUCCCUCCCUGGGUCCCUUCCCUGGUUCCUCCCCUGGGUGCCUCCCUGGGUCCCUCCCUGGUUCCUUCCCUGUGUCCUGUCCCUGGGUCCCUCCCUGGGUCCCUCCCCUGCUGCCCACUGGCCUGGCACCCAGGAUUUUGGGCAGGUGUCCAGAAUCACACCACAGGUCUGUGGCUCCAAACAAGCCAAGGUUGAUCCAAGAAGUUCCCAUCCCUCCUGAGAGGCCUCAGAGCAGAAACCUCAAAUUAGAGCUGCACUUUGAGAGAUAUUUCAUCUUAAUCCCAGCACAUUUUGGGGGCCAAAUGCCCCCUGAGGUCACCUGUGACAGGCAGAGGGGACACCCAGCACCCAGGCUGGGACUGUCUUGA